UGGUGUCUAUGAUCUGCUAAUUUAGUAUU
rnacentral:piRNA from 2 species